GGCUUGUUGGUGAAGGGGUAUGAUUCUCGCUUCAAUCCGAGAGGUCCCAUGUUCAAACCCAGGCCAAGCCC